GCUCACUGACUUGUCAGUUUGAGCACUCUGGCAAGUAACAAUGGUGUAUCCGAAGCCAUAUGAGCGGCCAUCUCCCAGGACGAAUGGGGAAUGUACUUCCUAUGUACACACUGCGGAACCUGCAACAGCGUCCCGUCAUGAACAGUGCGGUCGUUCUACUCCAGAGGCCGAGGUUCACCCAAUUGUUGGGGAAACUGCCCCAGCUACGCGGCACUACAGGGCGGCGAUCCCUAACCCAGUCUCCAUGGUGAAUUGGAAGCCAUUUGAGCGGCCAUCUCCCAGGACGAAAGGGGAAUGUACUUCCUAUGAACACACUACGGACCCUGCAACAGCGUCCCGUCAUGACCAGUGCGGUCGUUCCACUCCAGAGGCCGAGGUUCUCCCAAUCGUUGGGGAAACCCUCCCAGCUACGCGGCGUUACAGGGCGGCGAUCCCUAACCCAGUCCCCAUGGUGUGUAAUGAGCGACCAAUGCCCAGGACGAAAGGGGAAUGUACUUCCUAUGCACACACUGCGGACCCUGCAACAGCGUCCCGUCAUGGACAAUGCGGGAGCUCUACUGCACAGCCUGAGCAAGCAGCAAACUGUGACAACACGGUCCCAUGUACCAAUCAUGACGAAGCGGCCGAUCGAUGCACCCCUUCCAACUAUAUUUCGGAUAUCCAUGGUUUGUCUGUUUCGUUUUAUUCGUUGUUGCUGUUGUUGUUGUUGUUAUUUUUGUUGUUGUUGUUUUAAAUCUUUAUUCUCACGAAAGCCAGUGGCCAAUAAGAGAUAAUAGUGUAAGAAAGGAGAAAGAGUGAGGACAAUUUUUUCAGUCCUGGCUUUAGAAUUUAUGCUAGUGUUUUAUGUAGGUUGAUGUUUACUUGUUUAUUCCAUGUUUAGUCCAUAGUUUCUUUCCUCACUUUUUGUUACCCCUUACACCUCGUUACCCUGCUGGCGUACAUUGUAUUGUUUUGUUUUUUCACGGCUGAGCGUAGUGAAAGAGUGCAAAAAACGUAUUUUUCACUCACAAAUAUUUUCGUGCAUUUGCUCUUGUUCUGCGCAACUCCGUUGAACCUGCCAUCGUGGUCUUUGUUUUUCCUCUUGGUAGUUGAAGUUGC